GAUGAACGCUAGCGACAGGCUUAACACAUGCAAGUCGAGGGGAAACGAUAGAGAAAGCUUGCUUUUUCUAGGCGUCGACCGGCGCACGGGUGAGUAACGCGUAUCCAACCUGCCCAUCACUUGGGGAUAACCUUGCGAAAGUAAGACUAAUACCCAAUGACGUCUCUAGAAGACAUCUGAAGGAGAUUAAAGAUUUAUCGGUGAUGGAUGGGGAUGCGUCUGAUUAGCUUGUUGGCGGGGUAACGGCCCACCAAGGCGACGAUCAGUAGGGGUUCUGAGAGGAAGGCCCCCCACAUUGGAACUGAGACACGGUCCAAACUCCUACGGGAGGCAGCAGUGGGGAAUAUUGGUCAAUGGACGAGAGUCUGAACCAGCCAAGUAGCGUGCAGGAUGACGGCCCUAUGGGUUGUAAACUGCUUUUAUAAGGGAAUAAAGUGAGUCUCGUGAGACUUUUUGCAUGUACCUUAUGAAUAAGGACCGGCUAAUUCCGUGCCAGCAGCCG
rnacentral:rRNA from 1 species